CCAAAUCCUGUCCCCUGCUAAUAGAAAAUAAAAAUAUGAAGCACUUCACAUGUUAUUUAUUGGUAUUUGACAGAAAACCCUCAGAAAAACUAGCCAUUAAGAUGGAAAGAGCCCAAAAUCUACCUCAGGCUAAAGAGUCGGCAGCUUAAUAUAUGGGAAUGGUACAAUACAUUGCAUGGAGUAUAGACCCACUAGACAGCAACUUCAUUGCUCCACCUCACAGUAAAAUUUGUCCUCAUCACCAUUGUCUCGUAAUCUUUGCUUUUGCACAUGAAAAUGGGGUCCUUUGAAUGGGUAGUGCUAUAUAUAAUUUCUUGAAAUUUGAAUUCUCAGGGGGGAGGUUGGUCCCUUUUAUUUUUCAUAGAUGUUAUCAUAACAUGACAGGCCUUAUAAUUUUUAUUUUCCCAUCAAUAUAUAUGUAUAGAAUGAAAAUAGGAAGGGUACUUUUGCUUCAACAGUAGCUUUUCCUUCUCCUCUCUGAAUUCUAGACUAAAAUUAAUACUCAUUACUGGACUUUUCUCCAUGUCCUUCCCAUGUGCUUCAAGAUUAUAUUAUUGGACUUUAUUA